CACGGAGAGUGCGCAGCCGUCCAGCUUCCGGAAGUGCGCCUGAACGGGUGGCUCGGGCAGAGCAUUGGCUCUCAUUCUUCAACAUCCCCAGAAGACGCAGUUUUCUCCAGAGACAGUUCCAUCCUGGAAGCCCCUCAUCUAAAAGGCCCUGUGAAGCCAGACAAUGCCUGUUGACUUGGGGCAGGCCCUGGGCCUGCUGCCUUCUCUGGCCAAGGCCAAAGCUGAAGAUGCCACAUUCUCUGGAUCAGAUGAUACCCAGCAAAGAGAACUCACUAACCCUGAGACUGCUCGCCAGCUUUUUAGGCAGUUUCGUUACCAGGUGAUGUCUGGGCCCCAGGAGACCCUGAGACAACUUCGAAAGCUCUGCUUCCAGUGGCUGCGGCCAGAGGUUCACAGCAAGGAGCAGAUCCUGGAGAUCCUCAUGCUGGAGCAGUUCCUGACCAUCCUUCCUGGGGAGAUCCAGACGUGGGUGCGGAAACAGUGUCCAGGCAGUGGAGAGGAGGCAGUGACCCUUGUGGAAAGCUUGAAGGGAGAUCCUCGGAGACUGUGGCAGUGGAUUGGCAUCCAGGUUCUAGGACAAGAGAUCCCGUCUGAGAAGGCAAACUCGGCACACUGCCAAGGCAGUGAGGUGGAGCCCAGACUGGAAGUGGUGCCUCAGGAACUGCCCCUUCAGAAUUCACCCUCAGCUCCUGCAGAGCUGCUGAGCCAUGGCGUGAAAGAGGAAUCAGACAUGGAGCCAGAGUUAGCUCUGGCUGCUUCUCAGCUUCCUGCUAGACCGGAGGAGAGGCCUAUCAGAGACCAGGACAUGGGAACAACGUUUCUCCCAGCAGUACAUCAGGAGCAGUGGAGGCACCUGGAUUCUACUCAGAAGGAACAGUACUGGGAUUUCAUGCUGGAGACCUAUGGGAAAAUGGUCUCAGGAGCAGGUAUUUCUAACACCAAACCUGACCUGACUAACAUAACAGAAUACGGGGAAGAGCUGGCAGGGCUGCAGCUUCACAUCAGUGAGAAGAUACCAAGACUCACCUGCAAAGAAGACAGACAAGAAAAUGACAAAGAGAACCUAAACUUGGAAAAUCACAGGGACCAGGGAUCUCUGGACGUUUUCUGUCAGGCAUCAGGUGAGGCACCACCACAGACUGACUUGGAUUUCCUCGGUGAGAGUGAGCUGCAUCGCUUUGGAGGAGAGAGUGUCCCUGAGGCUCUGGAAAGCCUUCAGGGUGAGGGAACAGGAGGGCAGCUCUUGCCUCCUGAAAGGGGCUCUGGGAGACAGCUAGGUCAGCACAUACAGAGUUCUUCUUCAGGAGAGCUGUCGUCAGCCUUGUGGCUGGAGGAGAAGAGAGAGGCCUCUCAGAAGGGACAGGCCAGAGCUCCCAUGGCCCAGAAACUGCCUACCUGCAGAGACUGUGGGAAAACCUUCUACAGGAAUUCACAGCUUGUUUUUCACCAAAGGACUCAUACUGGAGAGACAUACUUUCAUUGCCCCAUUUGCAAAAAAGCCUUUCUGCGAAGCUCAGACUUUGUGAAACAUCAGAGAACUCACACAGGAGAGAAGCCCUGUAAAUGUGAUUACUGUGGGAAAGGCUUUAGUGACUUAUCAGGCCUGCGCUACCACGAGAAAAUCCACACUGGAGAGAAACCCUAUAAAUGCCCCAUCUGUGAAAAACGAUUUAUUCAGAGGUCAAACUUUAAUAGACAUCAAAGGGUUCACACAGGUGAGAAACCUUACAAGUGUUCCCACUGCGGCAAGCGGUUCAGCUGGAGCUCCAGCCUUGACAAACAUCAGAGAUCACACUUGGGGAAGAAGCCCUGCCCAUAGCCACACCCCAGCCAGCCUGCCAGUCCAUUGCAGCCCUGCUCAGCUCUGCCUGGAGGGACUGUGACCAAAAAGGACCUCUUCUCUCUGAAGAAGCUGGUCUCUUACUUCAGACCCCUUGGGAAAGACAUGUCAUGUAGAUAAUGGCUUUAGUAGCUCUCUCUGUGGUAUGGCCACAAUGCUGUUGGCAGUGAGAACCUCAGAUCAGCUUUAGAACUAUGGUUCUAGAGUAGGCUGAUUAUUGCAGAAGGGGAGGUAGGGAGGCCUGAGUGCAUGCUGUCUUUGUCCAACAGGUGACAAAGUUCUCCUUUAACUGUCCCUUAUUUGAAAUAAACUGAACUAAUCUGG